rnacentral:rRNA from 1 species
AUUGAACGCUGGCGGCAUGCUUUACACAUGCAAGUCGAACGGCAGCACGGGUGCUUGCACCUGGUGGCGAGUGGCGAACGGGUGAGUAAUACAUCGGAACGUACCUGAUAGUGGGGGAUAACGCUUCGAAAGGAGUGCUAAUACCGCAUAAGCCCCGAGGGGGAAAGUGGGGGACCAGCAAUGGCCUCACGCUAACAGAGCGGCCGAUGGCUGAUUAGCUAGUUGGUGAGGUAAAGGCUCACCAAGGCGACGAUCAGUAGCGGGUCUUAGAGGACGAUCCGCCACACUGGAACUGAGACACGGUCCAGACUCCUACGGGAGGCAGCAGUGGGGAAUAUUGGACAAUGGGCGCAAGCCUGAUCCAGCAAUGCCGCGUGGGUGAAGAAGGCCUUCGGGUUGUAAAGCCCUUUUGUUUGGGAGCAAAGCUUACCUAAUAACACUAGGUGAGGAUGAGAGUACCAAAAGAAUCAGCACCGGCUAACUACGUGCCAGCAGCCGCCGUAAUAC